rnacentral:rRNA from 1 species
UAUGUGAUCGUCUCUCGCAUAUCAAUAAGCGGAGGAAAAGAAACUAACAAGGAUUCCCCUAGUAACGGCGAGUGAAGCGGGAAGAGCUCAAAUUUGAAAUCUUAAAGGGUUUCCCUUUACGAAUUGUAGUUUAAAGAAGUGUUUUCUGUUGAGGUUUUGGUAAAAGUUCUUUGGAAUAGGACAUCAUAGAGGGUGAGAAUCCCGUAUUUGACCUUUACUUUCAACUUUGUGAUACACUUUCAAAGAGUCGGAUUGUUUGGGAAUGCAGUCCAAAAUGGGUGGUAAAUUUCAUCUAAAGCUAAAUAUUGGCGAGAGACCGAUAGCGAACAAGUACCGUGAGGGAAAGAUGAAAAGAACUUUGAAAAGAGAGUUAAACAGUACGUGAAAUUGUCAAAAGGGAAGCGUUUGACACCAGUGUUGUUUUUCUGAAAAUCAAUUAAAGAACUGUUUAUGCUAAGUUGUUUAGACUUUAUCAGCUAAUCUGCUUAGUUUUGAGCUUUUCUUUAAUGCACUUUUCAGUUAACAAGUCAACAUCAAUUUCUUUUGCUGUAAAAAAGCUUGAGGAAGGUGGCUUGAGAUUCGUCUUAAGUGUUUAUAGCCUCUUGCCUAUGCAGUCGGAGAGAUUGAGGUCUGCAACGUAGAUCCUUCGGGGCUAAAUGCAUUUGUGCUAAGUUAUAGCAUUUUAUAGACAACUUGUUGACUAUGAUUUGUCUUGUAGCUUACUCGCUUAUGUUAUUUUACCUACGCUUAGGAUGUUGAACGCGCACAGAGUCUC